GAUGAACGCUGGCGGCGUGCCUAAUACAUGCAAGUCGAACGCGAGAGGAGGGAGCUUGCUCCCUCUGAUCGAGUGGCGGACGGGUGAGUAACACGUAGGCAACCUGCCCAUCAGUCCGGGCUAACCGCGGGAAACCGUGGCUACUACCGGAUGAUCCUCGCCACCGCGGGGUGGGGAGUUGAAAGACGGUUUCGGCUGUCGCUGAUGGAUGGGCGUGCGGCGCAUUAGCUGGUUGGUGGGGUAACGGCCCACCAAGGCAACGCUGCGUAGCCGACCUGAGAGGGUGAUCGGCCACACUGGGACUGAGACACGGCCCAGACUCCUACGGGAGGCAGCAGUAGGGAAUCUUCCGCAAUGGACGCAAGUCUGACGGAGCAACGCCGCGUGAGUGAAGAAGGGUUUCGGCUCGUAAAACUCUGUUGUUAAGGAAGAACGACAGGUAGAGUAACUGCUACCUGUGUGACGGUACUUAACCAGAAAGCCACGGCUAACUACGUGCCAGCCGCCGCUGUAA
rnacentral:rRNA from 1 species